AAGGUCGUAACAAGGUUUCCGUAGGUGAGCCUGCGGAAGGAUCAUUACCUUUCUGGCUAUUUAAUAGCUUGUCUGGGGGACUGCAGUUUCUGCAGUCUCUGACUACAUCCGUGUUUUUUUCGCGUUACUACAUGUUUCCUCGGCGGGCCUUGGCUUGCCGGUUGGUACAAACUAAAAUCUCUUUGCAAUUGCAAUCAGCGUCUGAAUUAUAUAAUAAUUACAA
rnacentral:misc_RNA from 1 species